AUAAAUUAAUCCAUUAAUUUGAAAUUAGUUGGUCGAGAUUUAAGUGUAGAGAUUGCAAUGAUAAUGAUAUGCUUCUCCCAUAUGAAGGAAAAGAUGAGGAUUUUUGAUUUAGUGAUACAAAAUAACAAUCCUAUAGCAAUUAAUAAAGGCCAAUUUAUCGUCCUGUCAGCUCAGCACUAAGAUAAUAAUGUAGGACUUUGUUUCCUGACAAAUAGUCAAAAGAGGUUUCCUUUUCCACUAUAGAUUCUUUUUGUAAUCAAUACAUGCUCUUAUUUUUUAACCCGACUGGCAUUACAGUAAACAGUUACUUCUUUCAAUUGGUUUUUAUAUGCAGGUUUUUACAGAACCUCACUUGAAAACAAAGGUUUGGGGUUUUUUUUUGUUUUGGGGUUUUUUUCUUCAAUAGAGAGGAGAACGUGUUCCAUUAAGAAUCACUUUGAUUCUUGUUGAAAUCUUAAUGUUAUUUCAAAGACUUACCACGUUUCAUCAGGAAAAAGAAAAAACAAAGCAAUACAUUUGGACAAGUGGGGGGAUCAGGUAAUGGUAUAAUACUAUGCCUAUUUUAAAACAGAGGUUUGAAAACGGUCCGGGUUCAAAGUUUCCCUUUUCUAAUAGCAUUGGCUAUUUGUAAAGAUGAUCACUUUUUUUUUUGUUUUUGUUCUUGUUGCACAGCCUGUGUAUCAGAAAAGCUUCUUUCAGAAAUGGUAUCAUGGAAGGAAAAGCCAGAAAGUGUAUUGAAGUUUUUCUGGAGAGUCAAGAUGAUCCUAUGGGCAUUCCACGAGUUUAGUAUGUAAGUCUUCUUAAGGUCUAUGUUGCCCACCAUAAUGUUGACAUAAUGCAGCCCUCUAGUUGUUGCAAUAGUCAUAGUCAAAGCUCUAUGCGAAAACUGUGAGCCUUGAUCUGUAAAACUGAGAAUGAGUAUUAUAAAUCAAAUUAGGAAAAACAUUAUAUUUUUCACAUAUCAGUUUUCUUUGCUGUAUGGCUUGAAUAUCAGUGGUAUCUAUAAACACUGCUGAUCACAUAUCAGGAAAAAUUAUCAGCCAGAAUAAAUGUGCAUAUUCACAUUCAGAAAACAAAAAUAAACAGAAAGUAUGUAUUGUGGAAUUUCUCAGGUUAUGCUGUACAGCAGUUGUUCUUCAUGUUAAGUAUUUCAUAGUUUUGUACUACAAACUGAAUUUACUUGCUCAAGUUCAGACUACUAAACAGAUUGUUGCACUCUGUUUUUUUGCAAGUAUCUCUUUUGGGAAGCGAUGCUUUAAUAAAAUGUGCUGUUCUUCCACAAGCAAUCAACAGCAUAUAGAAACAUUUUGCUAUGACACGUAA
rnacentral:lncRNA from 1 species